GAUGAACGCUAGCGGCAGGCCUAAUACAUGCAAGUCGAACGACACUUUCCAGCUUGCUGGAGAGGAAAGUGGCGCACGGGUGCGUAACGCGUAUGCAACCUACCUUAAUCAGGGGGAUAGCCCGAAGAAAUUCGGAUUAACACCGCAUAAAAUCACAGUAUAGCAUUAUACAAUGAUCAAAUAUUUAUAGGAUUAAGAUGGGCAUGCGUGACAUUAGUUAGUUGGCGGGGUAACGGCCCACCAAGACCACGAUGUCUAGGGGAUCUGAGAGGAUGACCGCCCACACUGGUACUGAGAAACGGACCAGACUCCUACUGGAGGCAGCAGAAAGGAAUAUUGGUCAAGGGAGGCAACUCUGAACCAGCCAUGCCGCGUGCAGGAAGACAGCCCUCUGGGUCGUAAACUGCUUUUAUUCGGGAAUAAACCUAUCUACGUGUAGAUAGCUGAAUGUACCGAAGGAAUAAGGAUCGGCUAACUCCGUGCCAGCAGCCGCCGUAA
rnacentral:rRNA from 1 species